GUGAAAUUCAUAAAAAACAGGCUCAGGAACACUUUAGCCCAAAAGAACCUUGAGGCAUUCAUGCUCAUGUGCACUGCGAAAGAAAUUCUCACGUCUUUGGACAAUGACACGGUCAUAAACAAAGUUGCAGAGACCAGUGCACUGAUCAGAAAUGCCUCAAGUAAUCGUCAUGACAAAGUCAGAUUUAACAUGCCGAGUGGUUCAACAGGACAUAAGGAAGCUCUACACCAGCAAUAAGAUCAAAGAGAAGAUGGAAAAGUGUAGUAAUCGGCUAGGGAUUACCAUGAAUCACAUCUUCCCUGUGAAGAACUACCAUGAGGAAAUAUGGAUGGAUCUUCCGAUUCUCAAGGCAAUUGAUCAGAUUCUGAACAUUGCUGCUGACAAGUUGAAGAAACAAUCCUUUAACUCUGGUGACACAACUGAGUAGAGACCCAGAUCAAAAUGUAUCAGGGAAUCUAAUCUUACCCAAAGUGCUUUACAGAGCAUUUAAAAACCACAGUAGGAGACACAGUUACUGCUAAAUGGAGAAUAGUACCAAGUAUGCGUUGCUAAAAUAAGUGUAAUGCUAUAUUUUGUAUUUU